rnacentral:lncRNA from 1 species
AGCAUGAAGCUCACUAAAAUGUCAGAAUUCUCGUUGGAGUGUUAGACGCUAGCCAGAACUCAGAAGAAUCGGUUAAGAUUUCAUUUCAGCAUGUGGUCAAAAGUUUCAGCAAUUGAAUUGUUCAUCGACAAAUAUCCGUCCAAAUCAAUUUUUUAAUUUUGUUUCUCGAUUACCCAAUCAUCAUACCUGGGUGUUGUACCCUUGGCAACUUUACACGUGGUUAUAACCAGAUCGCAUGGGUGCAAGAAGUGACAAAAGUGUGACAUGGAAUUGUUUCGCUUUGGAUUGGAUUAUUCAAUCUCCCCCAAAAAGUAUAAGUGCUAAUGACAUGUGACAUUGUGUCUGUCAGGUGAUAUUCAUGGACCAUUCACAUUCCCAGUUUACAUCAAGUUCCUGGUUAAUUCAUACUAACCACAACUUCAGCUACCAAACAUCACUUUUAUGAUCAAAAUAUUUGUUGGAAACACAGGCUCUCUCGUGACUCAUGUUAUUGGCACCUCUAAAUUGUUCAGUGUUCAUCAUGAAGAUGUAGCAACUUGAAUUGUUUUCAACCACCCAAGGAACGGUUAGUAGUCUAAACAUUGAAAUUCCGUUAUCGCCCAUUUCGCCUUCUCGAAGAUGGAGACAGAUUCUUCCGAUACAGAUAAUGGUAAAAUUCGUCUCUCUUGGACAUUUUUUAUUUCAUCAUUAAUUUUACUGUUUUUUGUUUGUUUUGUUUUUAUUUUAUUUAUUGGCUCACUCUCUCAUAUGUGAUGGCCGAGCCCGCCGCAACGGCAGCGAAUCGUUGUCGACAGUCGAGUCCUAUUGUUCACCCUUGACUAGCGAAUGAGGCUUCCGUGGAGAGAGUAUUUGUCUAAUGUGCAACAAAACAAUAUGGGUAACGGCAGCGGAAGCAGCAACGCUCCCAUCUCAACAGCCAGGAGCGCCGGAUAGCGGAGUACCACCAAGACCGAACUCUUUAUCGUCUCUGGCUUUCGACUAUGGUGGAAAAUAUCACCCAUUUCUUUUCCCGACGCGGAAUCAAUUCAACUGAUUCGGCCGAUGUGACUUCUACUUCACAACCACCACCAGCAACGACGACAACAUCGGUAGCCGGCAGUAACGUCAGAUGAUUUCCAGGAACUCCACCCAGGCCUGGACCUUUGGCUGUUCCCCGGUCAUUCCCUCGCGUUUCUCCAACGCGAUGAGAGGCGAAGGAUUUGUGGCUGCGGUAGAGAAAAGGCUCACUUCGCCGACUAUUGGUAGUCCCCGUAAUGCCCCGCCACCUUGGAGGAUUUUCCCGCGUGUCGGACAUGUUAUGGGAGGUGGAACUGGAGCUGCCAGAAUUGCUUCCGGAGUAGCCGAACAAGGCCCAGGGCAACAAUGCUGUACUCUUCGCCGGAAUGCGAAAUCACAAAUGUCACUCAGCGCUCAUCUGACGUACCGAAUUCAGGCCUGGGAUUUCUGCGCGAAAGACAAAUACAUCCCCGACAUCCGCGAUCCUUAGGCCAACAUUGUCCUUCCCGAAUGCAAAAUCCACAAUGACGCCAGUGUCGAUGUUUCAGCUUAUGGCCGGUUUCUCGUUACGCUCGUCCUUUCCACUUCAUUCACUGGAACUCUCAUUAGUCUGCAUAUUUUAGAACCGUCUCGUUGGGGCAUGUGUCUUUCACGAGUGAAUGUCGACCAGUUGUCCUUCAGCAUUUCACCAACAACCACUUUCUGGGGAAACCAUUUUGAUUCACUUCCAAUGACCUUUCCCACUUGUUCCUAUUUGAUUCAUUUCUCAUUUAUCUCCGUAUUCGUAGGAUUCAAUAUUCGAACAAUGUUGAGCUGUCUUCAAAUUUGAAAGCAAUCCAGUCGUUCCGUUCA